AUAAAUAUAUAUAUAAAAAAGAGGGGUCAACACAAAAAGUUUCUCAGUAUGCUGGAUGUUCACUGACAGGUCAACUGAAGUUGUCCAAACUUCACUUAAACGAAUCUCGUCUGAGUGGACAAAUAAGAAGGAUGAGUGCCUCUCGUCUUCUCAGCCAAGUCUAAUCCUCAAAUCCUUAUCAGGGUCACUGAGACUCUGUGACACAGUUAGUUAUAGACUCAAUGCUUCUAGGUGACGCUUGUCUAUAGCUACAUUUUAUUAUUUCGAUUAGCAUCUUAUGAUUAAUACCAUAAAUAUGCUGCUGCUACUGUGAGUGGCCAGCUUCUAACUACAAAAGGAUAAAAAGGAAAAUGGACUUCACAUUACAUUAACGAGUGGAAAAGGGUAAACUGCAGAUCUGCUGCCAUGACCACUUCAACCACCCUUCCCCACCUCACUGUGCCGCCUCACACGGCACCACAACGCUCCACAGACAGUGAAGAGUCCAGCGAGGAUGAUCUAAGUGCACCUAAAUCAAAUCCUCAUCGUCUGCUCAAUAUGAAUAACAGCAAUAACAAUGAAGAAGAAGAAAAUGAGGAGACAGAGAAGGAAAAGGAAGAAAGGGAGGCAAAGGAAAAAGAGGAGAA